CUCCCCUUGCUCUCGAUACCGGCGUUCGACACGGUGGUGCAGGUAAUGUGGCCUAUAUCUCCUAGCGCGUUUUGUUUGGACAUGCGUGUGUUUUAAUGUGAUACCUGAAGUCAACGGGUUAAUCACUGUGACUCGUGUUUGGUCGGACUGCCUACUCUCAGUACUACCGUCUCUCUAUCGCCGUAUGCCUGGGUCAGCUGUAUGUUGGUAUGGCAGUUGGCUGUAUGUUCUGGCUUGUUGUUAGCAUUUAUGCUUUGCCGUUAGCGCGGCCGGUAUUUUGAUUCAUCAUUAGUUUGAGAC